UAUAUUUUCAUGGGCCUUACAUGAUUUAAGGUCAAGGGAGUUCGUAUACGUAUACAUAUAUAUAUUAUUUAAAAUUCUUUGAGUUCUCAUGUAGGACCCCAAUCUUCUGCACCAGCAUUUGGACAGUCAACUUUUGGGGCUCAACGUGGGGGAAGAAGAGUUGCUUCUUACACGCCUACAAUUGACGCUGAUAGUAGCAUUGGUACACAGAUGUUCGAGUCAAUUUCAGCUAUGCCUGUUUACAAAGAUAAAAGUCAUGAGGAGCUGAGAUGGGAGGAUUAUCAAUUAGGAGAUAAAGGUACCCUUGUAAAAUAUUAAGAAAACCUGGAAGUUAUUCAUUAUUCUUUCCCAUUCAUUAUCGACUAACUUGCUGUAAUAAUUUGACUGUCAGUUGGACUGCAGCCAACCGCUCAGCCUUCUGGAGAGAUUUGCUCUGGUGUGUCAACUGCACCUACAAGUCCUUGUGGCUCUUCUCCAACAUUUGGCCAAACAUCUGUAAAUCCUCAUUCCAUCACAAGUACCAAUCCAUUUGGUGUAUCUAAUUCCCCGGUAUUUGGAACAGUAGGCACAUUUGGAGCAUCAAGCGCACCAGCUUUUGGCACUUCUCUCACUCAUGCUUUUGGAGCAUCAAAUUCUGCUUUUGGCACUUCCAAGACUCCUGUUUUUGGAGUGUCAAAUUCUGCUUUUGGCUUUUCCGACACUCCUACUUUUGGAUCAUCUUCUACUCCUUCAUUCAGCUCUGGGUCUAGCCCUGCUUUUGGCCAAUCAACACCAGCAUUUGCCAGUAGUCCUUUUGGAACAACUACAAUUGGAGCACAGAGUUCUUUUGGUGAGUAACCAAGCCUACUUGAUCAUAGACUUCGAAACUACUUGUACAGUUAGGCAGAAAUAUAUAUUUUCAUGGGCCUUACAUGAUUUAAGGUCAAGGGAGUUCGUAUACGUAUACAUAUAUAUAUAUUAUUUAAAAUUCUUUGAGUUCUCAUGUAGGACCCCAAUCUUCUGCACCAGCAUUUGGACAGUCAACUUUUGGGGCUCAACGUGGGGGAAGAAGAGUUGCUUCUUACACACCUACAAUUGACGCUGAUAGUAGCAUUGGUACACAGAUGUUCGAGUCAAUUUCAGCUAUGCCUGUUUACAAAGAUAAAAGUCAUGAGGAGCUGAGAUGGGAGGAUUAUCAAUUAGGAGAUAAA
rnacentral:lncRNA from 1 species